CACCACACCGAAACCAUCACAAAGACUGCUGGACACUGGCUCUUCUUCCUCCACAGGCUGAGGAGGUUCAACAUGGACUCCAGGAUACUCUGUGACUUCUACAGGUGCACCAUCAAGAGUAUCCUGACGGGCUGCAUCACCGUCAGGUAGUUCCAGGCUCUACAGAGGGUUUAAGGACGUGUUGUGCAGCUGGAACGUGGCGCAGAUGCUCCUGGUGAAAAUCAAGGGACAUGGCAUGAUUGACAACCGCAUCACUCGGGCCAUUUCUCUGUGUAAGAGAAUUGUCAGCAGGUUCUCUUACAGCUGGAGAAAAGAAGAGAGCUGGCUGAAGUCCAGAUUCAGCUGGGUCUGCCGGCUCGCCAGCUCAUCACAAAGUCAGCCAGCCGCUGGGGACCAAGGCAGCAAAUGAUGGACAGGGUCCUGGAGCAGGAGGGAGCACUCUCAAAAGUCCUGUCUGCUUACAAAAAGUCCAGGCAUAAUGUGGGAAAUUAACAUUUUAGAUUGUAGCUUAUUACAUUAGUCUGAGGGACUUUAGCUGAGGGACAGAAGAUCAAAGUGUCAUAUUAUCAAAAUGUCAUGUUUUCCUGACAAAAGGUUAGGAGACAGCAACAGGGGAUCAGUUCUUCUACACCAGAGAUCUUCAACCGUGGGUCCGCAA